rnacentral:rRNA from 1 species
AAUCAAGGCUGAGGUGUGAUGACGAGGUACUACGGUGCUGAAGUAACAAAUGCCCUGCUUCCAGGAAAAGCCUCUAAGCAUCAGGUAACAUUAAAUCGUACCCCAAACCGACACAGGUGGUCAGGUAGAGAAUACCAAGGCGCUUGAGAGAACUCGGGUGAAGGAACUAGGCAAAAUGGUGCCGUAACUUCGGGAGAAGGCACGCUGGUGUGUAGGUGAAGUCCCUGCGGAUGGAGCUGAGACCAGUCGAAGAUACCAGCUGGCUGCAACUGUUUAUUAAAAACACAGCACUGUGCAAACACGAAAGUGGACGUAUACGGUGUGACGCCUGCCCGGUGCCGGAAGGUUAAUUGAUGGGGUUAUCCGUAAGGAGAAGCUCUUGAUCGAAGCCCCGGUAAACGGCGGCCGUAACUAUAACGGUCCUAAGGUAGCGAAAUUCCUUGUCGGGUAAGUUCCGACCUGCACGAAUGGCGUAAUGAUGGCCAGGCUGUCUCCACCCGAGACUCAGUGAAAUUGAACUCGCUGUGAAGAUGCAGUGUACCCGCGGCAAGACGGAAAGACCCCGUGAACCUUUACUAUAGCUUGACACUGAACAUUGAGCCUUGAUGUGUAGGAUAGGUGGGAGGCUUUGAAGCGUGGACGCCAGUCUGCGUGGAGCCAACCUUGAAAUACCACCCUUUAAUGUUUGAUGUUCUAACGUUGGCCCCUUACCGGGGUUGCGGACAGUGUCUGGUGGGUAGUUUGACUGGGGCGGUCUCCUCCCAAAGCGUAACGGAGGAGCACGAAGGUUAGCUAAUCCUGGUCGGACAUCAGGAGGUUAGUGCAAUGGCAUAAGCUAGCUUGACUGCGAGCGUGACGGCGCGAGCAGGUGCGAAAGCAGGUCAUAGUGAUCCGGUGGUUCUGAAUGGAAGGGCCAUCGCUCAACGGAUAAAAGGUACUCCGGGGAUAACAGGCUGAUACCGCCCAAGAGUUCAUAUCGACGGCGGUGUUUGGCACCUCGAUGUCGGCUCAUCACAUCCUGGGGCUGAAGUAGGUCCCAAGGGUAUGGCUGUUCGCCAUUUAAAGUGGUACGCGAGCUGGGUUUAGAACGUCGUGAGACAGUUCGGUCCCUAUCUGCCGUGGGCGCUGGAGAAUUGAGGGGGGCUGCUCCUAGUACGAGAGGACCGGAGUGGACGCAUCACUGGUGUUCGGGUUGUCAUGCCAAUGGCACUGCCCGGUAGCUAAAUGCGGAAGAGAUAAGUGCUGAAAGCAUCUAAGCACGAAACUUGCCCCGAGAUGAGUUCUCCCUGAGACUUUAAGUCUCCUGAAGGAACGUUGAAGACGACGACGUUGAUAGGCCGGGUGUGUAAGCGCAGCGAUGCGUUGAGCUAACCGGUACUAAUGAACCGUGAGGCUUAACCUU